GGAGCUAAUCCCUUAAAGCUACUCUCAGUUCGGAUUGUAGGCUGAAACUCGCCUACAUGAAGCUGGAGUUACUAGUAAUCGCAGAUCAGAAUGCUGCGGUGAAUGCGUUCCCGGGUCUUGUACACACCGCCCGUCACACCACGGGAGUUGGAGACGCCCGAAGCCGAUUAUCUAACCGUUUGGAAGAAGUCGUCGAAGGUGGAAUCAAUAACUGGGGUGAAGUCGUAACAAGGUAGCCGUAUCGGAAGGUGCGGCUGGAUCACCUCCUUUCUAAGGAGA
rnacentral:rRNA from 1 species